rnacentral:rRNA from 1 species
UGUAAGCGUAUACCAAAGUUGUUGCAGUUAAAACGCUCGUAGUCGGAAUUUGGCAGUUCCGGAUGUGUGCACGUCGUGUGCGCACUUCGCGGGGAUUGCUUUUGUGGUCUUGCGUAGGAUGAGGCACUUUUAUUAGUGAACGUCCUCACGCAACCACUUUUUACUGUGAGAAAAUCAGAGUGCUCAGAGCAGGCAUUUUCCGUGAAUGUAUUAGCAUGGAAUAGUAGAAUAGGACUCGGUUCUAUUUUCUUAGUUUGUUGGGACUGAGUAAUGAUUAAAGGGGACAGUUGGGAGCAUUUGUAUUUCGGUGCUAGAGGUGAAAUUCUUAGAUUGCCGAAAGACAAACUGCUGCGAAAGCGUCUGCCAAGGAUGUUUUCAUUGA